rnacentral:tRNA from 1 species
GUUGUUUUGGCAGAUAAUAUGCAUUAAAUUUAGGGUUUAAUUAUAUAGUUGAGUCUAUAAAUAACA